CACGGGGGUUGCGAGCGUUGUCCGGAAUUACUAGGCCUAAAGGGCAGGCAGGCGGAUCCAUAAGUUUAUCGUUUAAGGCGUCGGCUUAACCGGCGUAGGGCGGUAGAUACUGUGGAUCUGGAAUGCGGUUGGGGAAGACAGAAUUCCUGGUGUAGCGGUGGAAUGCGCAGAGAUCAGGAGGAAUACCGAAGGCGAAGGCAGUCUUCCAAGCCGUUAUUGACGCUCAACUGCGAAGGUGUGGGUAUCAAACAGGAUUAGAUACCCCGUAGUCCCUGAGCGGG
rnacentral:rRNA from 1 species